rnacentral:lncRNA from 1 species
GGAGCUUGGAUUCACGAAUCUUUAGAUUCAAUGUAACUCAAGUAUAGUAAUGUUGAAAUUUUCUUGAAGUACAAUUAUAUUUUUCUUGUUUGUUUUGAUGUAACUUAUAUAUUUUAAAAAUUAAAUUUAAGUACUUUUUUAGUUUGUUCUGGUGUAACUUGAUAGUAGUGUAACUAGUUUUUUAAGUUCGAUUAUUUGUUUUUGAUGCAAGUAAAUAAAUCCAGUUAUCUCUUAAAUAUAGUGAUAAAUUUAUCCACACAAAAUCCAACAUAUUAAAUUAUUAAAUUCUCUAUUAUUAUUUAAAGAUAAUUCUAACCCAUUGUAAACAGGUAACUCUAAUUCAUUGUAAAGUAAAGUUUAAGUUUUAAUAUUUAAUUAACUUUUUAGAAAAAAUUGAGUGCGGUGAAACUUGAGUUCAGCACUAAAGGUGGAAGUUAAAAAUAAGUAAAGUAAAAAUUUAAUAUAACUUGAGUUAUAUAUAUAUUUUUUUGACUUAUACGAAAACAACCACGGAAAGUGAUGGAACUUGAGUUCCAACCUUCCACUUACUCCAAACCAAACGGUCCCUUAGUUGACUAAUUAUAAUACCUCCAUACCCAAUAAUUUU